rnacentral:rRNA from 1 species
AUGUCCGAUUUAUUUAGUGGGAUUCAAGCAGCUAUGGUUAUCAAUCGAGUAGAGAACAGUGAGCAGUCACCUGAAGAUUGGAAUAGCGACUGUGAUGGAUCCGGUGGUUCAUCAGGUUUGCCGGGCACGCCGUGCUUUACGUCCAGGCUUUCUUUGCUCAAAGUUGGUUCAGUCAUAGGCCAGUUUAGUGAUUUUAAGCGACAGUUAAUCAAGGAAACCGGAUUUGAUGGAAUGCUAGAGCUCAAAUCAUGGCAGAAGAUCAGCCUUAAGUACAGCGCUUACCUAAUGGAUAGGGUUGAUGUAGAUUCCAGCAUAAUAAAUUUAGAGGGCCAAGGUGUGAUUGAAUUACGUGACCAACACUUUAAUUCUGUUUUUGCCCCCAUGUGGCAAUACAGUCAUAGAAGGUGA